rnacentral:rRNA from 1 species
CGCAUCUGUGCAUGCAGCAUAUCAAUAAGCGGAGGAAAAGAAACUAACAAGGAUUCCCUUAGUAACGGCGAGUGAAGCGGGAAGAGCUCAAAUUUGAAAUCUUCAAGGUUUUACCUUGACGAAUUGUAGUUUAAAGAAGUGUUUUCUGUUGAAGUUUUGGUAAAAGUUCUUUGGAAUAGGACAUCAUAGAGGGUGAGAAUCCCGUAUUUGUACCAUUAUUUUCAGCUGUGUGAUACACUUUCAAAGAGUCGGAUUGUUUGGGAAUGCAGUCUAAAAUGGGUGGUAAAUUUCAUCUAAAGCUAAAUAUUGGCGAGAGACCGAUAGCGAACAAGUACCGUGAGGGAAAGAUGAAAAGAACUUUGAAAAGAGAGUUAAACAGUACGUGAAAUUGUCAAAAGGGAAGCGUUUGACACCAGUGUUGUUUUCUCGAAAAUCAAUUAAAAAAAGUUGGAUUCUGUGUUGUAUUGACCUUAACAGCUUGCUUCACUCUUUUCCAGCUUUUUUUAAUGCACUUUUCGUUUAACAAGUCAACAUCAGUUUCUUUUGUUGUAAAAGGGUCAUUGGAAGGUGGCUUUCUUUUCGGAGAAAGUGUUUAUAGCCUUUGACUCCUGCAAUCGGAGAGACUGAGGUCUGCAGCGUAGACCCUUCGGGGUUAGAUACAUUUGUGCUAAGCUACAGCUUUUCAUAGACAACUUGUUGACUAUGUUUAGUCUUGUGGCUUACCCGCUUAUGCUAUUUUACCUACGCUUAGGAUGUUGACGCGCGUGUGUGCGUG